AGUGAACGCUGGCGGUAGGCCUAACACAUGCAAGUCGAACGGCAGCACAGUAAGAGCUUGCUCUUACGGGUGGCGAGUGGCGGACGGGUGAGGAAUACAUCGGAAUCUACUUUUUCGUGGGUGAUAACGUAGGGAAACUUACGCUAAUACCGCAUACGACCUACGGGUGAAAGCUUGGGAUCUUCGGACCUUGCGCGAUUGAAUGAGCCGAUGUCGGAUUAGCUAGUUGGCGGGGUAAAGGCCCACCAAGGCGACGAUCCGUAGCUGGUCUGAGAGGAUGAUCAGCCACACUGGAACUGAGACACGGUCCAGACUCCUACGGGAGGCAGCAGUGGGGAAUAUUGGACAAUGGGCGCAAGCCUGAUCCAGCCAUACCGCGUGGGUGAAGAAGGCCUUCGGGUUGUAAAGCCCUUUUGUUGGGAAAGAAAAGCAGCAGGUUAAUACCCCGCUGUUCUGACGGUACCCAAAGAAUAAGCACCGGCUAACUUCGUG
rnacentral:rRNA from 1 species